GCAAGUCGAGCGGUAACAAAUCUAGCUUGCUAGAUGCUGACGAGCGGCGGACGGGUGAGUAACGCGUAGAAAACUGCCCAGGAGUUGGGGAUAGCGCAGAGAAAUUCGGAUUAAUACCGCAUACGCUCUCCGGGGGAAAGGGGGCUUCGGCUCUCGCUAUUGGAUGUGUCUGCGUGGGAUUAGCUAGUUGGUGAGGUAAGGGCUCACCAAGGCGACGAUCCCUAGCUGGUCUGAGAGGAUGAUC
rnacentral:rRNA from 1 species